rnacentral:tRNA from 1 species
GAGGGUAUAGCUCAGGGGUAGAGUGCAUGCCUAGCAUGCACAAGGUCUUGGGUUCAAUCCCCAGUACCUUCA